rnacentral:rRNA from 1 species
UGCGUAGACGGGAAAUUAAGUUAGUUGUGAAAUCCCUCGGCUCAACUGAGGAACUGCAACUAAAACUGGUUUUCUUGAGUGCAGGAGAGGUAAGUGGAAUUCCUAGUGUAGCGGUGAAAUGCGUAGAUAUUAGGAGGAACACCAGUGGCGAAGGCGACUUACUGGACUGUAACUGACGUUGAGGCACGAAAGUGUGGGGAGCAAACA